GGUUUUUCCCGUUUCUCGUUUCUAUGGCGAUGGAAGUUGAAGACGGUGGCGGUGGCGCGAUUGAGGCCGGUGACGGUGGAGGCGACAAGGUUGGCGACGGCGGCGGCGCGGAUCCGGUUCGCGGCAGCGGCGGCGGCGCGGAUCCAAUCUGCGGCGACGGCGGUGGCGCGGACCAGCUCCGCGGCAACGGCGGCGGCUCGAACGCGGCCCGUGGCGACGGCGGCGGCGCGGAUCCAGUCCGCGGCGGCGCCGGCGGCUCGGACGCUGCCCGUGGCGACGGCGGCGGCGCGGAUCCAGUCCGCGGCGGCGCCGGCGGCUCGGACGCUGCCCGUGGCGACGGCGGUGGCGCGGAUCCUGUCCGCGGCGGCGCCGGCGGCUCGGACGCUGCCUGUGGCGUCUGCGGCGGCGCGGAUCCAGUCCGCAGCGGCGGCAGCGGCUCGGUCGCGGCCCGUGGUGACGGCGGCGUCGCCGAUCCAGUCUGUAGCGGCGGCGAUGGUGUGGACGCGGCCUGCGGCGACAGUGGCGGCGCGAGGGCUGUCUCCCACGUCGUUGCUUCCAGUUGCUUUCAGUUGUGUCGUUGUUUCAUGGUGCAGGCCAUCUCUUUC
rnacentral:lncRNA from 1 species